rnacentral:rRNA from 1 species
AUACGUAGGGGGCGAGCGUUGUCCGGAAUUACUGGGUGUAAAGCGCGUGCAGGCGGUCGUGUAAGUGGUGCGUGAAAGCUCCCGGCUCAACCGGGAGAGGACGUGCCAAACUGCAGGGCUAGAGGCAGGUAGAGGCGUGUGGAAUUCCGGGUGUAGUGGUGAAAUGCGUAGAGAUCCGGAGGAACACCAGUGGCGAAGGCGACACGCUGGGCCUGGCCUGACGCUCAGACGCGAAAGCAUGGGGAGCGAACGGGAUUAGAAACCCCGGUAGUCCAUGCUGUAAACGAUGCUGACUAGGUGUUGCGGGUGAGAUACUCCGGCAGUGCCGAAGCUAACGUGGUAAGUCAGCCAUCUGGGGACUACGGCCGCAAGGUUAAA